rnacentral:rRNA from 1 species
AGCGAACGCUGGCGGCAGGCCUAACACAUGCAAGUCGAACGAAGUCUUCGGACUUAGUGGCGGACGGGUGAGUAACACGUGGGAACGUGCCUUUAGGUUCGGAAUAACUCAGGGAAACUUGUGCUAAUACCGAAUGUGCCCUUCGGGGGAAAGAUUUAUCGCCUUUAGAGCGGCCCGCGUCUGAUUAGCUAGUUGGUGAGGUAAAGGCUCACCAAGGCGACGAUCAGUAGCUGGUCUGAGAGGAUGAUCAGCCACAUUGGGACUGAGACACGGCCCAAACUCCUACGGGGGGCAGCAGUGGGGAAUCUUGCGCAAUGGGCGAAAGCCUGACGCAGCCAUGCCGCGUGAAUGAUGAAGGUCUUAGGAUUGUAAAAUUCUUUCACCGGGGACGAUAAUGACGGUACCCGGAGAAGAAGCCCCGGCUAACUUCGUGCCAGCCGCGGCAGUAAAAC